GAGGGUAGAGCUCAGUAGCAGAGCAUGUGCUUAGCAUGCACGAGGUCUUGGGUUCAAUCCCCAGUACCCCCA
rnacentral:tRNA from 1 species